CGACGGUAAUGCGUCGUGCUCUUCGGAGACGGAUACACAGGUGCUGCAUGGCUGUCGUCAGCUCGUGUCGUGAGAUGUUGGGUUCAGUCCCGCAACGAGCGCAACCCCUGUCGUUAGUUGGAUUUUUCUAGCGAGACUGCCGGUUAAACGGAGGAAGGAGGGGACGACGUCAAGUCAGCACGGCCCUUACGUUCUGGGCGACACACGUGCUACAAUGGUCAGGACAAUGGGAUGCGAACCCGCGAGGGGGAGCGAAUCUGAGCAAACCUGGCCUCAGUUCAGAUUGGAGGCUGCAACCCGCCUCCAUGAAGCUGGAAUCGCUAGUAACCGCAAGUCAGCACAUUGCGGUGAAUACGUUCCCGGGUCUUGUACACACCGCCCGUCACACCAUGGGAGUUGAUUUCACCCGAAGCGGGGAAGCUAA
rnacentral:rRNA from 1 species